rnacentral:rRNA from 1 species
UACGUAGGGACCGAGCGUUGUCCGGAAUCAUUGGGCGUAAAGGGCGUGUAGGCGGUCAGGUAAGUGAGAUGUGAAAUGCCCCGGCUCACCCGGGGACCGGCAUCUCAUACUGCUUGGCUUGAGUACGGGAGAGGAUGUGGGAAUUCCUGGUGUAGCGGUGAAAUGCGUAGAUAUCAGGAGGAACACCGGUGGCGAAGGCGCACAUCUGGCCCGAUACUGACGCUGAGGCGCGAAAGCUAGGGGAGCAAACGGG